CAGCCUGAAAUGACUAUUUAAUUCAUGUAUCUUCUAUGACAUUCUCCUCUGGAGAUGAUUUUUGCCUUGCUGAUCUAAUGAGGCUG